AUUGAACGCUGGCGGCAUGCCUUACACAUGCAAGUCGAACGGCAGCACGGGUGCUUGCACCUGGUGGCGAGUGGCGAACGGGUGAGUAAUACAUCGGAACAUGUCCUGUAGUGGGGGAUAGCCCGGCGAAAGCCGGAUUAAUACCGCAUACGAUCUACGGAUGAAAGCGGGGGACCUUCGGGCCUCGCGCUAUAGGGUUGGCCGAUGGCUGAUUAGCUAGUUGGGGGGGUAAAGGCCUACCAAGGCGACGAUCAGUAGCUGGUCUGAGAGGACGACCAGCCACACUGGGACUGAGACACGGCCCAGACUCCUACGGGAGGCAGCAGUGGGGAAUUUUGGACAAUGGGCGAAAGCCUGAUCCAGCAAUGCCGCGUGUGUGAAGAAGGCCUUCGGGUUGUAAAGCACUUUUGUCCGGAAAGAAAUCCUUGGCUCUAAUACGGUCGGGGGAUGACGGUACCGGAAGAAUAAGCACCGGCUAACUACGUG
rnacentral:rRNA from 1 species